UCCGGUCAUAUCAUGUUGAAACAUCGGUUCUCGGAAGAUCACCGAUGUUAAGCAACGUCGAGCCUGUUCAAUACCUAUAUGGGUGACCAUUUGAGAAUACCAGGUCCUGUAAG